GACGAACGCUGGCGGCGUGCUUAACACAUGCAAGUCGAACGGUGAAGCGCCUUCCUUUUUGGUGGGUGUGGAUGAGUGGCGAACGGGUGAGUAACACGUGAGUAACCUGCCCCCUUCUUCUGGAUAACCGCAUGAAAGUGUGGCUAAUACGGGAUAUUCUGGGUCUGUCGCAUGAUGGGUCUGGGAAAGAUAUUGUUUCGGUGGGGGAUGGGCUCGCGGCCUAUCAGCUUGUUGGUGGGGUGAUGGCCUACCAAGGCGGUGACGGGUAGCCGGCCUGAGAGGGUGGACGGGCACACUGGGACUGAGACACGGCCCAGACUCCUACGGGAGGCAGCAGUGGGGAAUAUUGCACAAUGGGCGCAAGCCUGAUGCAGCGACGCCGCGUGAGGGAUGGAGGCCUUCGGGUUGUGAACCUCUUUCGCCAGUGAAGCAGGCCUGCCUCGUUUGUGGGUGGGUGGACGGUAGCUGGAUAAGAAGCGCCGGCUAACUACGU
rnacentral:rRNA from 1 species